UAAUACAUUGUGUGGACUCGUGCGUAUUUAGAAAGAGUUAUCAGUUGUAAGUCAUCUAGAUAUGUAACCUUUAUGUGACGAAGCAUAUAGUGAAUGUUAAGUUCAGAAGGAAAUCCAAACAAAUAUGUGUGUAGUAAAGUUAAGGUUUAUCUUAAGUGCAUUAUGUCCGAGUUACAAUAGUAGAAAUGGGUUAUUGGAAGUCUGGUUGUUA
rnacentral:lncRNA from 1 species